ACUCCUACGGGAGGCAGCAGUAGGGAAUCUUCCACAAUGGGCGCAAGCCUGAUGGAGCAACACCGCGUGAGUGAAGAAGGGUUUCGGCUCGUAAAGCUCUGUUGUUAAAGAAGAACACGUAUGAGAGUAACUGUUCAUACGUUGACGGUAUUUAACCAGAAAGUCACGGCUAACUACGUGCCAGCAGCCGCGGUAAUACGUAGGUGGCAAGCGUUAUCCGGAUUUAUUGGGCGUAAAGAGAGUGCAGGCGGUUUUCUAAGUCUGAUGUGAAAGCCUUCGGCUUAACCGGAGAGGUGCAUCGGAAACUGGAUAACUUGAGUGCAGAAGAGGGUAGUGGAACUCCAUGUGUAGCGGUGGAAUGCGUAGAUAUAUGGAAGAACACCAGUGGCGAAGGCGGCUACCUGGUCUGCAACUGACGCUGAGACUCGAAAGCAUGGGUAGCGAACAGGAUUAGAUACCCUGGUAGGAUAGCG
rnacentral:rRNA from 1 species